CCAUGGUGGUGAGGGCAUUGAGUAAUGUAGCCCUUGAAUCAGAAUUCUUCUGUGUGAAUCUUGAAAUCUCAUUCCUCAAUCU